rnacentral:miRNA from 1 species
UAUUGCACUUGUCCCGGUCUA